rnacentral:miRNA from 2 species
UGGCAGUGCAUGUUAGCUGGCUGUU